GACGAACGCUGGCGGCGUGCUUAACACAUGCAAGUCGAACGGAAAGGCCCUGCUUGCCGGGUACUCGAGUGGCGAACGGGUGAGUAACACGUGGGUGAUCUACCCUGCACUUCGGGAUAAGCCUGGGAAACUGGGUCUAAUACCGGAUAGGAGCCAUUUUUAGUGUGAUGGUUGGAAAGUUUUUUCGGUGUAGGAUGAGCUCGCGGCCUAUCAGCUUGUUGGUGGGGUAAUGGCCUACCAAGGCGGCGACGGGUAGCCGGCCUGAGAGGGUGGACGGCCACAUUGGGACUGAGAUACGGCCCAGACUCCUACGGGAGGCAGCAGUGGGGAAUAUUGCACAAUGGGCGCAAGCCUGAUGCAGCGACGCCGCGUGGGGGAUGACGGCCUUCGGGUUGUAAACUCCCUUCGCUAGGGACGAAGCUUUUUGUGACGGCACCUAGAUAAGAAGCACCGGCUAACUACGUG
rnacentral:rRNA from 1 species